GCCUGGGUGGCUCAGUCGGUUGAGCGUCCGACUUCAGCUCAGGUCAUGAUCUCACGUUCGUGAGUUUGAGCCCCGCAUCAGGCU
rfam:Felis catus isolate Cinnamon breed Abyssinian chromosome F1, whole genome shotgun sequence.